GAGAGCUUGCUUUCCAUGAGAGUGGCGUACGGGUGCGUAACGCGUAUGCAACCUACCUUCAUCAGGGGGAUAGCCCGAAGAAAUUCGGAUUAACACCGCAUAAAAACACAACCUGGCAUCAGGAAAUGUUCAAAUAUUUAUAGGAUGAAGAUGGGCAUGCGUGUCAUUAGCUAGUUGGUGAGGUAACGGCUCACCAAGGCGACGAUGACUAGGGGAUCUGAGAGGAUGACCCCCCACACUGGUACUGAGACACGGACCAGACUCCUACGGGAGGCAGCAGUAAGGAAUAUUGGUCAAUGGAGGCAACUCUGAACCAGCCAUGCCGCGUGCAGGAAGACAGCCCUAUGGGUCGUAAACUGCUUUUAUAUGGGAAUAAACCUUGAUUCGUGAAUCAAGCUGAAUGUACCAUAAGAAUAAGGAUCGGCUAACUCCGUGCCAGCAGCCGCGGUAAUACGGAGGAUCCAAGCGUUAUCCGGAUUUAUUGGGUUUAAAGGGAGCGUAGGCGGCCUAUUAAGUCAGGGGUGAAAGACGGUGGCUCAACCAUCGCAGUGCCUUUGAUACUGAUGGGCUUGAAUGUAGUUGAGGUAGGCGGAAUGUGACAAGUAGCGGUGAAAUGCAUAGAUAUGUCACAGAACACCGAUUGCGAAGGCAGCUUACUAAGCUAUGAUUGACGCUGAGGCUCGAAAGCGUGGGGAUCAAACAGGAUUAGAUACCCUGGUAGUCCACGCCCUAAACGAUGAUAACUCGAUGUUGGCGAUAUACAGUCAGCGUCCAAGCGAAAGCGUUAAGUUAUCCACCUGGGGGAGUACGCCCCGCAAGGGNUGAAACUCAAAAGGAAUUGACGGGGGGCCCGCACAAGCG
rnacentral:rRNA from 1 species